UAGGGAAUAUUGGGCAAUGGAGGGAACUCUGACCCAGCCAUGCCGCGUGCAGGAUGAAGGCGUUAUGCGUUGUAAACUGCUUUUAUAUAGGAAGAAAUAGUCCUUGCGAGGAAAGUUGACGGUACUAUAUGAAUAAGCACCGGCUAACUCCGUGCCAGCAGCCGCGGUAAUACGGAGGGUGCAAGCGUUGUCCGGAUUUAUUGGGUUUAAAGGGUGCGUAGGCGGUUUAUUAAGUCAGUGGUGAAAGACGGUCGCUCAACGAUUGCAGUGCCAUUGAUACUGGUAGACUUGGGUAUGAUUGAGGUAGCUGGAAUGGAUAGUGUAGCGGUGAAAUGCAUAGAUAUUAUCCAGAACACCAAUUGCGUAGGCAAGUUACUAAGUCAUAACUGACGCUGAGGCACGAAAGUGUGGGUAUCAAACAGGAUUAGAUACCCCCGUAGUCCCUGAGCGGGCUGGCAAGGCGCAU
rnacentral:rRNA from 1 species